rnacentral:rRNA from 1 species
AGCAGUAGCCACGGUAAUACAGAGGGUGCGAGCGUUAAUCGGAUUUACUGGGCGUAAAGCGUGCGUAGGCGGCUUCUUAAGUCGGAUGUGAAAUCCCUGAGCUUAACUUAGGAAUUGCAUUCGAUACUGGGAAGCUAGAGUAUGGGAGAGGAUGGUAGAAUUCCAGGUGUAGCGGUGAAAUGCGUAGAGAUCUGGAGGAAUACCGAUGGCGAAGGCAGCCAUCUGGCCUAAUACUGACGCUGAGGUACGAAAGCAUGGGGAGCAAACAGGAUUAGAUACCCCCGUAGUCCUGUCUCUUAUACA